CCUACGGGAGGCAGCAGUGAGGAAUAUUGGUCAAUGGACGGGAGUCUGAACCAGCCAAGCAGCGUGAAGGAUGACUGCCCUAUGGGUUGUAAACUUCUUUUAUAACGGAAUAAGACGAGGCACGUGUGCCUUUUUUCAUGUACUUUAUGAAUAAGGAUCGGCUAACUCCGUGCCAGCAGCCGCGGUAAUACGGAGGAUCCGAGCGUUAUCCGGAUUUAUUGGGUUUAAAGGGAGCGUAGAUGGGUUGUUAAGUCAGAUGUGAAAGUCUGCGGCUUAACCGUAGAAUUGCAAUUGAUACUGGUAGUCUUGAGUACAGUAGAGGUGGGCGGAAUUCGUGGUGUAGCGGUGAAAUGCAUAGAGA
rnacentral:rRNA from 1 species